UUUUAAUCAAAAUAUAAUAUUAUAAAUAUAGGUAGGUACCUGCCUGGUUUCAGUUUUUUUUCUUCACACUUAUAAAAUAUGUCAUCAUCUAACUCAGAUUCAACGAGUGAUGAUGAUUUUAUCGUUGAAGUGCUUCAGGUGUUAUCGAGACCCAUGUUUUUUCCUGAUCCAAUCCGUCGACAGAAUAUAAUGAUACCUACAGAUUUUAAACAGAGAUUUAGGUUAUCUAAAACAAUUUUUAAUGAACUACUGGAUAUGGUUCAAGAUAGCUUAUGUCAAAAUACACACCGAUGUCAUUGUCACCAAAAUUGCAGCUUCUAAUACAACUGAUAUAAUGCAACUGGUACUUUUCAGGCAGUUUUAGGAGACCAGAUACGAAUCCAUAAAUCAAAGUGUCAAAGUGUCGUAUGACACAAAAAGUAUCAACAUGUAUCACUAAAACCAAAAUACAUUCAAAUGCCAGAAACAAAAGCUGACAGAAAAUUUGUCUAUGAAAAUUUCUAAAAAAUGUGCCAAUUUUCUAAAGUCAUUGGAGCAAUAGAUUGUAUUCAUAUCACUAUAUCAGGAUACAAUCUCCCAGUAAAAAUAUUAGAAAAAAAUUCCGCAAAAGAAUAGGCUAUUUUUCAAUUAAUGUUCAAGCUGUAUGCAACUAAUUUAAACAUUGUCUAUGUCCUUUA